rnacentral:lncRNA from 1 species
CACAAAGCAGCUGUGGGCCUUGACCCUUCAGCGCCCCUCCUUCCUGGCCCGGCCCAGGAUGUGUCACACCUCUGCUGAUGGCUGGCUCCAAGUGCUGGAAUCCCGCUUCCUCCCCUCUACACCCGGGCAUCUGACCAUGAAGACAGCUGUGCUGCGGCAGCGGAGCACUGGUCAGACGGUGUCUGAUGCUUGAGCCAGGCUUCUGGGAAAGCAGGGCCCUGUGCCCCCGAGUGAGGUCUGCUGUGGGUGUGCAGGUGACUGAGGCCCCGGGGGCUGAGGCUGGGUGAGCUGCUCGGGAGAGUGCUUUGGCCACAGAGCUAGGUGAGUCUGUGGGUUUGGGAGGCAGAGAAAAGGCCCUGGGGCAGGAGGCCCAAGUGAGCGGCUGUGUUUGGAGCACUCUGAGGCCAGUGUGGGCUGUAGGCUAGGAAGGCCGUGCCGGCCCAGCGGAAAGGGGGUCCCCCGGGCUGAGGCCCAGGUCGCUACUCUGCAUCCUGCAAGGCUGUGGCCCUUGGCAGCGGAGGCUGGUCCCCGGCAGGGUCUGGAUGAGAAGGCCACGCUCACCAGGGAUGGUUGGAAGUGAGGCCUCCUGUCCUCAUCCUGUCAGGCUAUAAAACGAAACGCCACACGCCGAGAGGCCUAACAACAACAGAAAUGAUCUGAGUUCCAGAGGCAGGAGGCCCAAGACCAAGGGCCUGCAGAUUCCUCGUGUGGUGGGGCCGCUCGCCGGCUGCUGGCGGCAGCGUCUUCCUGUGUGCCCGCGCAGUGGAAGGGCUCUUCUGGAAGGCCAGGACCCCAGGCAGGACUCCGACCUCCCAAGCCCUCCCAACCCCUUCCGCCCUCCCUCCGGACGCCUCAUCAUGGGCGGGGUUCGACACUGAGGGCCACGAGCAUUCCGACCUCAGCACCUCCUUGGGUCAGAGACAGCCCAGCGCACCCUCCCCACACAGGGGGCACCCUUGCACCUGGAGCGAUGGGCUGGGGAGACUGCCACGCCCAUCCAGGAGGCUGCUCUGGCAGGGUUGGACCUCAUUUUCCACCUGUGUGUGGAGCUGACGGCAGCGUGCCCAUGCAGGCUGGGCAGGUGUGGCUGUGCCCUGCAGAAAGGCUGGGCUGCCAGGCAGAGCCGGUCCCCCAGAAGAACCCCAGAACUCACGCCCAAAUGCAAUCGGCUCUGUAACAGUGUUAGCGCUGGGGUCAUUACGCAGUGACCAGGUGCUCUUAAAAAAAGGUCCGGAGACCUAUCUUGCCUUUCCAUGCAGGAAGACAGCGAGACGACACUGUCUGUGUCCUUACCGGAUGUCUAGUCGGCAAGGACUUCGAUGCUGGACCUCUAACUGCCAGAG